rnacentral:rRNA from 1 species
GAUGAACGCUGGCGGCGUGCCUAAUACAUGCAAGUCGAGCGAACAGACGAGGAGCUUGCUCCUCUGACGUUAGCGGCGGACGGGUGAGUAACACGUGGAUAACCUACCUAUAAGACUGGGAUAACUUCGGGAAACCGGAGCUAAUACCGGAUAAUAUAUUGAACCGCAUGGUUCAAUAGUGAAAGACGGUUUUGCUGUAACUUAUAGAUGGAUCCGCGCCGCAUUAGCUAGUUGGUAAGGUAACGGCUUACCAAGGCGACGAUGCGUAGCCGACCUGAGAGGGUGAUCGGCCACACUGGAACUGAGACACGGUCCAGACUCCUACGAGAGGCAGCAGUAGGGAAUCUUCCGCAAUGGGCGAAAGCCUGACGGAGCAACGCCGCGUGAGUGAUGAAGGUCUUCGGAUCGUAAAACUCUGUUAUUAGGGAAGAACAAAUGUGUAAGUAACUAUGCACGUCUUGACGGUACCUAAUCAGAAAGCCACGGCUAACUACGUG